AGGGUGCCCACGGGUCCAUCUACCCAUCAUGGACCUCUGAGCAAUUGUAUAAAUUGGCAUCCCACUCAAGUCGUGUUCAGGAAAAGGAGCCCUGAUGCUGAAAAGACAUUUGGAAGCUGCCGAGCUCACGUAUUUCAAAGGGCUUAGGACAAGAUGUAGCCAGUAGCCCGGUCGCUGAGGCGGAUGAGGAAGGAGCCGAGAGCUUUGUCCCCAAGCAGCUGCUCCGUCUGCCUGGGCAGAGAUGUGUAAUUAAGAGGGGCCCGUGCCCGUGUGGCAGCAGCAAUGAGCGGACUCAGCCUGCCCCAGAGUCCCUGCUGGCCGCCCCCUUGGGUACAGAUCUCCAGCUCUCCACAGGGGACUCUCAGACCUGCAGCUGCUACUGUGGUCUGUGUAUGCUUAAGCAUCCAGCAAACUCCAGACUCGGGGUUGGGCUGGGCCUGAGAGCUGAGGCCCCCACGCACCACCCUCCCCUGCAGCCUCACCGGCAGGUACAACAGCCACUGACCCUGGCUGCCCACUCUCCACCUGAAUGUCUCUGUAGUAAGAAUGAAUCUCUAUCACCAGAGAUUUUUAGGUCUGGGGGGCUCCUUGCCUCAGGACCACUGUACGGUUGUGCAGGCUGUGCACAACACAUGUUUCUACCAGGAUAAGGUGCUGUUUUGCCCAGAGCUUGAUUGCAAGGGCGAUUCCUAGACUCUCAUCUCCCUCCAUGUCCCUUCCAGCCCGAGGCAGCCAUGGCCAUUUCUGAAUGGCACCAAGUAUUCUGGAGAGGUGAUGGAAAGUUCCAGUUCUCUUCUGGUUUGGCAGUACCUGGACCACCUGCUCGCUCAGCGCUUACCAAGUGCCGGCUCCACGCAGGGCCCGCGCCAGAGUUUGCAAGCCCAGCACUAAAUGAAAGUGCCAAGCCCCUCACUCGAACAUCGAGCCUCUCAAGACGGUUAGGGUUAGGGUUAGAGCCGCACACCAAGCGUGGCCAGCCCUGGUUGAUGGCUGGUGCUGAGCCAGGAGCUCCAGGGGGAACCUGCCGCUCCUCUGUCUCGUGCUCAGGCUGCUGGCAGGAGCCGCACAACCCGAACGCUGGCCCCAUGUCGCCUCCACAGUGGGGCAGCGCACGUCCAGGCUGGCCCAGGUCGGUGCCCACUCAAGACAGUGCUCACCCUCCCUGACGAGUGUCCGGCUUGCAUGACAGAAGAGAUGACAGCCCUCCAGUCCUUGGUUCUCCAGGACAGGUCCCAACGCACCCUGCCCCUGCCCCGUCCCUCUGCUAGACCACCCUCAGAGUGGCCCAGCACUCGCCUGCCAUGCCCACGUGGUGCCCCUCAGUCUGCUCCCUGCCUGGCCCAGGGGGUCCGCAGAGAUCCGUCUUGUCCCAGGGGGGCCCCAGGCAGCUCUCUCACGGUGGGGGACGGGGCAGCCUUACUUGCGGGUGAUGAAUCCGUGAAACCAGGGGGGCAGGGCUCCAUCCUGCAGGAUGAAGGGUGCCUGUGUCUCCGUGAACCAUGUCAGAGCCAGUUCCUGCAGCUUGGCGAGGGCCUGGCUGUCCCCCACCUCCCGGGGCCCCCUCUGCAGGCACGGCUGCUUCGGGCUGCCCUCCAUUCUGGCCAGCUAAGUGGAAGCAGUGGGCAGACCACCCACAGGCCUCUAUAUCUGUGGGCGCCCCGCUCAUUUGCCUGAGUCCUUGCCCGCCCCAACGCCCAGCCACCCCCACACACAGGAGCCCUAUUGUCACUGCUCCUUCCUGACUCCGGGGCGGACACCUUGUGUGGCUGGAGACACUGGGGGGAGCGUCCUAUGAGCAGCGAGGUUGGGGGGUCUGGAUCGCAGGAGAAACCUCAGACUUCUUGACCCCUCCCCCCAACCCCCAGCCUCUGCCUCUGCCGAAGCCAGGCCCUGGCUAAGGUCCUCAGCCCAGCAGCUCUUAGUAAAGCGGGGGCUUAAAUUCCCUCA